rnacentral:rRNA from 1 species
UACAGAGGGGGCAAGCGUUAUUCGGAAUUAUUGGGCGUAAAGGGCGCGUAGGCGGCCUGGCAAGUGGAAGGUGAAAUCCCUCGGCUUAACCGAGGAACUGCCUCCCAAACUGCUUGGCUUGAGACCGGGAGAGGUGAGUGGAAUUCCCAGUGUAGCGGUGAAAUGCGUAGAUAUUGGGAGGAACACCAGUGGCGAAGGCGGCGAUCUGGGAAGAUACUGACGCUGAGGUGCGAAAGCGUGGGGAGCAAACAGG